AGCUCCAACAUUGUAUAUCAAAGUUGUAGCGGUUAAAAAGCUCGUAGUUGGAUUUCUGUUGAGGACGACCGGUCCGCCCUCUGGGCGAGUAUCUGGCUCGGCCUUGGCAUCUUCUUGGAGAACGCAAUUGCACUUGACAGUGUGGUGUGGUAACCAGGACUUUUACUUUGAGGAAAUUAGAAUGUUUCAAGCAGGCGCACGCCUUGAAUACAUUAGCAUGGAAUAAUAAGAUAGGACAUUGGUUCGAUUUUGCUGGUUUCUAGAGCUGAGGUAAUGAUUAAUAGGGAUAGUUGGGGGCAUUCUUAUUUAACUGCCAGAGGUGGAAUCCUUGGAUUUGUUAAGGACGGACUACUGCGAAAGCAUUUGCCAAGGAUGUUUUCA
rnacentral:rRNA from 1 species